UACGGAGGGUGCAAGCGUUGUCCGGAAUCACUGGGCGUAAAGAGCGCGCAGGCGGUCGAUCAAGUCGAGUGUGAAAGCCCCCGGCUCAACUGGGGAGGGUCAUUCGAUACUGAUCGACUCGAAGGCAGGAGAGGGUAGUGGAAUUCCCGGUGUAGUGGUGAAAUGCGUAGAUAUCGGGAGGAACACCAGUGGCGAAGGCGACUACCUGGCCUGUUCUUGACGCUGAGGCGCGAAAGCUAGGGGAGCAAACGGG
rnacentral:rRNA from 1 species